UGUCUGGUUAAUAUUCCAAGCCAGACAUCUAAAAGGCUCUUGAUUUUAGAAUUAUUGGAGCAAUUAUCUAAUGAAAGAUCUAUACUUAUUGCAAUUGUUCACUUGGAUCCUGCUGUGUAGCCGGUAAAUAUUCAAAUUUUCAAGAUUACAACCCAACUUUAAUGUUUUUAAACUAAAUAUCUCCUAAGUGCCUGAUUCAAAGCUCACUGAAGUCAACAGGAGCAAUGCCAUGGACUUUAAUGGUCUUUGGAUAAUGCCACAACAGCAUAUUAUAUGACCUUUGUUCCAGCUCUCACUUGUAGUAUAAAUCAAGUUCUUCAACAGCAACAAAACCUAACUAGUGCCCAACUUUAUUAGACAACUUACUGCCCUAAAGUAUCCUGCCCUAAAAGACUGCCCUAAAGUAUCCUGAUGAGCAGUUCUGUUCCAGCUUUAUUAGAAAGUCACCUCUGCAGGUCUCAGAGGAGUGCAACAGAAGAGAAUGUCUUAAAGCAGACAUCCAACUGGGAAAAAUCAGAGCUCUGGGUCCAGCAAAACUUGGUAAUACAUGGUACUUUAAUUGUGUAUGUCAGGGUGUCUCACCAUGAUGGGCAAAUGGAGGCACAAGAAGACAAAGGAUCUCUUAUGGAGCCAUUGCAUGGAUUUCAAUAAUUAUGGCACCAACAGGGAUCCAAAGAGAUUAUUCUGAAAACCUAUUGAAUGUAAUAGAGAAUGAGGCCCUUUCAACCAUUCUGGAGCAAUCUAUAGCAGAUACCCAUUCUAUACAGUUUACAGAUGAUUAUUUAUCAUUUUCUGUUAAACCACAUGGGACUUUUCCAUAAGGAGUUGUUUAAAUCUUGGCAUAAUUAAACACACAUGUCUAACUGUCUGCAUAUUGUUUAGCCACUGCUGACAGAAAAUCUACUCCAGCAGCUCUACUGAUUCAUGUAUUAAAACAUAAAUUAUAUUAUCUACUG